AUGAAGACGAAGAGUUUACGUAGUUGUGUUCGACGAUUGAGUAUUGGACAAUGUCUACUGAAGCAAGAUCAACCACUAAAUUGUGUCGAAUUCUAUAUAAACUUGUUUGUUCAACUUAAUGAUCAAUGUCAUGGUUUUGAUGCUGCAAAACUAUUAUCUACGAGGUGUUGGGGUUGCGUCCCAUUUAGGUUUCAUGGUAAUGUAUACAUAUAUACUUAUUUAAUUUUGGAUGCAUUUCUAGGGUCGUUUUUCGCAAAGGGAGUGUACCUCACCUCUGCAUUUUCAGUGUUUAUUGGUAACCUUUCACGUAUACAUAUGUUAAAUAUGAUUUCGAUGUCUACAUUAAAGGGCCCCCACGUUAUAGUUUCGCCCCAGGCCCCUGUAUUCUCAGGACCGGCCCUGGCAAGCCCCAUGCUUAGCCACCCGAGGUUUUGCCAAGGAUUGCGGGUUGAGUACUAA
rnacentral:rRNA from 1 species